GACGAACCGUGCAAACGUUAUUCGGAAUCACUGGGCUUAAAGGGCGCGUAGGCGGGUCGGACAGUCUGCGGUGAAAUCCUCCAGCUUAACUGGAGAACUGCCGUGGAUACUCCCGAUCUCGAGGAGGGUAGGGGCAUCUGGAACAGCCGGUGGAGCGGUGAAAUGCGUUGAUAUCGGCUGGAACUCCGGUGGCGAAGGCGGCUCACUGGCCCGAUACUGACGCUGAGGUGCGAAAGCGUGGGGAGCAAACAGG
rnacentral:rRNA from 1 species